rnacentral:rRNA from 1 species
CAGUAGCCGCGGGAAUACGAAGGGUGCAAGCGUUACUCGGAAUUACUGGGCGUAAAGCGUGCGUAGGUGGUGGUUUAAGUCCGUUGUGAAAGCCCUGGGCUCAACCUGGGAAUUGCAGUGGAUACUGGGUCACUAGAGUGUGGUAGAGGAUAGUGGAAUUUCGGGUGUAGCAGUGAAAUGCGUAGAGAUCGGAAGGAACAUCUGUGGCGAAGGCGACUAUCUGGGCCAACACUGACACUGAGGCACGAAAGCGUGGGGAGCAAACAGGAUUAGAUACCCCAGUAGUCCCUGUCUCUUAUAC